rnacentral:rRNA from 1 species
GAUGAACGCUGGCGGCGUGCCUAAUACAUGCAAGUCGAGCGAACAGACGAGGAGCUUGCUCCUCUGACGUUAGCGGCGGACGGGUGAGUAACACGUGGAUAACCUACCUAUAAGACUGGGAUAACUUCGGGAAACCGGAGCUAAUACCGGAUAAUAUAUUGAACCGCAUGGUUCAAUAGUGAAAGACGGUUUUGCUGUCACUUAUAGAUGGAUCCGCGCCGCAUUAGCUAGUUGGUAAGGUAACGGCUUACCAAGGCAACGAUGCGUAGCCGACCGGAGAGGGUGAUCGGCCACACUAGAACGGAGACACGGUCCAGACUCCUACGGGAGGCAGCAGAAGGGAAUCUUACGCAAUGGGCGAAAGCCUGACGGAGCAACGCCGAGUGAGUGAAGAAGGUCUUCGGAUCGUAAAACUCUGUUAUUAGGGAAGAACAAAUGUGUAAGUAACUAUGCACGUCUUGACGGUACCUAAUCAGAAAGCCACGGCUAACUACGUG